rnacentral:rRNA from 1 species
ACUCAAAUGAAUUGACGGGGGCCCGCACAAGCGGUGGAGCAUGCGGUUUAAUUCGAUGCUACGCGAAAAACCUUACCAACUCUUGACAUGGUGGUCGCGAGAACCAGAGAUGGUUUUUUUCAGUUCGGCUGGACCACACACAGGUGUUGCAUGGCUGUCGUCAGCUCGUGUCGUGAGAUGUUGGGUUAAGUCCCGCAACGAGCGCAACCCUUAUCCUUAUUUACCAGCGAGUAAUGUCGGGGACUAUAAGGAAACUGCCAGUGACAAACUGGAGGAAGGUGAGGACGAUGUCAAGUCAUCAUGGCCCUUACGAGUUGGGCUACACGCGUGCUACAAUGGCGGUGACAAAGGGUCGCGAAAGAGUGAUCUGGAGCAAAUCCUUAAACGCCGUCUCAGUUCGGAUUGCACUCUGCAACUCGAGUGCAUGAAGUUGGAAUCGCUAGUAAUCGCAGAUCAGAAUGCUGCGGUGAAUACGUUCACGGGCCUUGUACACACCGCCCGU